UGUGGCUCAGCAGUAGAGCACAUGCCUUGCAUGUGUGAGGCACUGGGUUCGAUCCUCAGCA
rnacentral:tRNA from 1 species